rnacentral:sRNA from 1 species
UCAUCGAGUGAAGGGCGUGGAGAGCCCGC